GGAACAUGCUGGAAAAUGUUUGUGGGGAGUGCACUAAUUAGGUUAUCAUUAAGAAUUAAGACCUCUAGUUUACUCAAGUCCCUGAAAACAGCAUGAUCAAUGUCUCUUAAAAGGUUAAAAUCAGCUUGGAGAUACUCCAAAUCAUCCAAACCAAGAAAAGUGUUCUUUUUAAACGACCGGAUCUUGUUGUUGUUUAUAUGCAGGCGCUUGACCAGCUGCAGGCCGAGGAAGGCGCCGGGGACGAUGUCAUGUAAGCCGUUGUUCUCCAAAUGCAAGCUGACUGCAUUGUAGAAGUUGGCGAACUCAUUGGGAAACAGUCUGGAUAGGGAAUUCCCAUGCAGCAGCAAGUGAUAAAACUGCGAGCUCGGACCAGUCAAGUGCUGCAGGUUGCUGAAACCGCGCUUUUCGCAAUCGAUGUGCAAAUCGCCCUCUACUGCACUGCACGAGCAGAUCUCCUCCUUGCACACGUCGCUUGUACUGUUCCCGAGAGCUGCACAAAGAGCCGCCUUCAGCAACACAAUCCACAGCAGCAUUUUUUCAAUGCUGACGAUUCAUCCCCGCAGUCCGAGACAUGGAAAAACUAUCAGAUCAUGGAUGUCUGCGUUCCUCCAGACGCAAACUGACAGACAUAUAGAUCAGCAGUCUGCAGAAACAGGAGGACAAUUCAUGUUUUGAUACAUGCCAUCCAACUCUGGUUAAACAUUUUUUCCAUCAUCUUAUUUACAAAACACUAAAAAAAGCAUCAUCAUCAUUAUCAUCAUCAUCUAAUGUCUCAGAUUACAAUGUGAGAUUAAUCUUACCAAAUAAGUGACCUUGUGUACCCCCCCCAAAAAAAAAUUCUCCUUUAGUGUAUAUUUUGGUAUUCCUCACGGAAGGAAGGGAGCUGUCCGUUCUCCCUUGGUUCUGAAAUCCCAAUGCAUCGCCACGGAGAGGACAAAUAAAGACAUAAAAAUAAAAAAAAGAAUAAAGAGAAAGAAUGAGCUAGAAGGAUGAAUCAGUGCGCAAUUAUCACAUCCUCACAAUUCCAUUCUGCUUCUUCUCCUUCUCCGCACUCCGGCGCUUUUUCAGCAUGUCUAAAGAAACGCUCGGUGCUGCAUCUAACCCCCUCUGCCGAGCUGCAGUGGAAAUAAUCCAUCGAUGUGACGUUUGGAUCGUUUUUAUGUUUGUUUGUGUGUUUGUUUAAAUCGAGCUACAAACAAUAGCAACAAUCUGAUGGUAAAAAUGGGGAAAAAAUCAAAAGUGCACGCACAAAUUCCGAAAAAAAGCGUCUUUCUGGCUAUGUCCGUGUUUGGAUGGUGUUCAGAUUGUCGUUUGUGAACCGCAUCGUGCGCGCUCAAUCAUUUCAAAACUGUUAUAUCCUCCAAAAAGACAAAAAAAAUCAACAAAAAAAAAUCUCAGCUUCUCAGAGUGAUCGUUUCAUUCCCGGAAUAUGUAUUUUUUUUUUUGAAGCGGAGCGAUUUUUUCCUCCUUUCUUCAGCGGAAGAGAGAAGAAAGAUUAGGACAUAAUGUCUAGAAUCUCCUUGUCAGAAGCUCAGGAAGCCGGUGAAUACUGCAUAGAAAGCGAGCAGGGGGAUGUUGAUACUGGAGAGGAUAAACGGGAGCUACGACCACAGAAAAUCAGAGGACGAGUCUGCGAGUGUUAAUUUCUACGACAAUUUGGUGUCUCCUGGCUGGGCUGCGUGAAUCUUUCAGCUUUUCUGGACAACAAGCAAACCGGAGGACGCCUGUGGAAAAGUUUCAUCCUGAAGUCCAUGUUGACACAGGUGGUUUGCCCUUUAUUAUGCAGAGCGAAAGACCGACACAGCCUUACCACUGACUGGUAGGAAUCAUCAAAAAAAAAAAACAGCCUUAAAGUAAAUUAGAAUUUUAUAAAGUCAUUGUGUAUUGCUGUCUGUAUGGAAGGGAGUCAAUGAUAUAAGAAAUGCGUGUAUUACAUUGAGCGAUUUCUUAUAAGAAGUUUGAGGAACUUUGCCUCUGCAACGGCAGAGAUAUUGGUGUUUCUUAGAUCAUAGCUUCAAAACUAAGCUAUAUACCGACGGGUAUAUACUGUAUAGAGAGAGAGAAAGAUAACGGUAAAAAUAAACGGAAAGAGUCAGUUUCGAGGAAUAAAUAAGUAAAGAGAGUACUUUUUAAGAAGCGCAAGAGACGCAGUAUUUUUACGGCGGAUUAUCAUCAAGUGGCAUGCCCCAUUGACUCAUUCUAUCAGAUCAGCGUUACACGAUAUAUUUGGCAAAUUUAACGCAGAAGUAAAUUUUACUGAGAUAAAAAAAAGAAGGGAGGAGAAAACUGUAAGUCCAACCAAAUUGCUGUAUGUGGACUCGCCCUCACAGGUAAACUCUUUUACAUUCUUAAGAUUUGCUCUAUUGAACCUAUAAGUUAUGUGAUUAAUUGAAUGUCUAGAGAUUUGGCACACAUUUUGAACCUUUUCUGUUUGUGCACGAGAAUGCAUAUUCAAUUGAUUUUCAAAGCAUGUUAAACUGAUUAAAACUUUUAGUUAUA
ensembl:lncRNA